UACAGCAGCAAGCAACAGAAAGGGAAAGCAUGACAUGGGCUUCUCCUGGAACUCUUGGAAAGCACUGAGGAAGCCAGUUGUGACUGUCUGAUACUCACUGAGAUUACGACUGCUCCCAAGGGCCAGGAAUCUCUUUCAGACAGACAUUAAGCUAUUAAAAAACUAGUCUGGAAGAAACAGGCAGCACUCUCAUCUGAGGAAUAGUGACACAGGCAGAACAGCCAGUAAGGCUAUUGCUGAACUCAGCAGGGAUGUUACAGGUGGGGAUGAGAUGGUUGCACUCACUGGAGCUCUGAAAGGGGAUGAGCUGCCCACUCACACAGCUGGGCUCAACCAAAGCCCUUUGUGCAGCCCAUCAGUCAAGUUGAUCACCCAUCACAUGAUGCGUUUACCCUGCUGUGCGCUGGACAUUUUGUCCAGAAGGAUCCUGUGAGAGGCAGUGUUGAAACCUUCACUGAAAUCCAAAAGGAUUGCAUCAACUGGCUUCCCUUGAUCAAUCACUGAAGUGAGACUGCCAGGCGUGGAGUUUCCAGGCUCAUCCUUCCUGCUCUUCUGGAAAACUGGGACAUCAGCCAGCUUCCAGUCAGCUGGGACCUAUCUGGAUCCCCAAGACUGUCCAAAAAGGAAAGAGACAUCACAAUGAAGUCAGCCAGCUCUUUUGAGUAUUCUCAGAUGAAUUCCAUUGGGUCUUACAGAUUUACGGGGAACUGUAAAUCAUUCUCUCAACCACUGUCCCGUGACUCAGGGCCCUGGGACCCCUUAGUCCAUCACUGGCAUUGAGGACAGAGGUAAAGAAAGCAUUAAACAUCUCUGCCAUGUCCA